GAACUGGCGAUUUUCGCAUCUCACCGCUGC
rnacentral:sRNA from 1 species